rnacentral:rRNA from 1 species
AUUGAACGCUGGCGGCAGGCCUAACACAUGCAAGUCGAACGAGUGGCGGACGGGUGAGUAAUGUCUGGGAAACUGCCUGAUGGAGGGGGAUAACUACUGGAAACGGUAGCUAAUACCACAUACCAUCGGAUGUGCCCAGAUGGGAUUAGCUAGUAGGUGGGGUAAAGGCUCACCUAGGCGACGAUCCCUAUCUGGUCUGAGAGGCAGACCAGCCAACCUGGAACUGAGACACGUUCCAGACUCCGACGGGAGGCAGCAGUGGGUAAUAUUGCACAAUGGGCGCAAGCCUGAUGCAGCCAUGCCGCGUGUAGGAAGAAGGCCUUCGGGUUGUAAAGUACUUUCAGCGGGGAGGCGUUACCCGCAGAAGAAGCACCGGCUAACUCCGUGCCAGCCGCCGCGGUAAUUC